rnacentral:snRNA from 2 species
AUUGCUUCUCGGCCUUUUGGCUAAGAUCAAGUGUAAAUGUAUAAAAACAUUUACACAUUUAUUUAAAUGUAUAAAAAACAUAAAGAAUAUGUAAUUUGGCCAGGGGCAGUGGUUCAUUCCUGUAAUCCUAGCCCUU